rnacentral:rRNA from 1 species
UAAUACGUAGGGGAGCAAGCGUUGUUCGGAUUUACUGGGGCGUAAAGAGUGCGUAGGUGGCUAUAUAAGUCAGUGGUGAAAUCUCUAUUUUCAAGGUAGAAAUUGCCAUUGAUACUGUAUGGCUAGAGGGCAAGAGAGGGAAAUGGAACUCUGGGAGUAGCGGUGAAAUGCGUAGAUAUCCAGAGGAACGCCGGUAGCGAAGGCGAUUUCCUGGCUUGCUUCUGACACUGAGGCACGAAAGCUAGGGGAGCGAUCGAGCUUAGAUAUCCCGGUAGUCCUAGCCGUAAACGAUGGGUACUAAGUGUGGGAGGAGAAUUACCUUCCGUGCUGAAGCUAACGCGUUAAGUACCCCGCCUGGGGAGUACGGUCGCAAGGCUG